rnacentral:rRNA from 1 species
GUGGGGAAUCUUCCGCAAUGGACGAAAGUCUGACGGAGCAACGCCGCGUGAGUGAAGAAGGUUUUCGGAUCGUAAAGCUCUUUCGUUAGGGACGAACGUGCUCUUUGUGAAUAAUGAGGAGUAAUGACGGUACCUAAAUAAGAAGCCACGGCUAACUACGUGCCAGCAGCCGCGGUAAUACGUAGGUGGCAAGCGUUGUCCGGAAUUAUUGGGCGUAAAGCGCGCGCAGGCGGGAUAUCAAGUCUGUCUUAAAAGUGCGAGGCUCAACCUCGUGAGGGGACAGAAACUGGUAUUCUUGAGUGUCGGAGAGGAAAGUGGAAUUCCAAGUGUAGCGGUGAAAUGCGUAGAGAUGUGGAAGAACACCAGUGGCGAAGGCGACUUUCUGGACGAUGUCUGACGCUGAGGCGCGAAAGCUAGGGGAGCGAACGGGAUUAGAUACCCCAGUAGUCC